CCUACGGGAGACAGCAGUGGGGAAUAUUGGGCAAUGGGCGCAAGCCUGACCCAGCAACGCCGCGUGAAGGAAGAAGGCUUUCGGGUUGUAAACUUCUUUUCUCAGGGACGAAGCGAGUGACGGUACCUGAUGAAUAAGCCACGGCUAACUACGGGCCAGCAGCCGCGGUAAUACGUAGGUGGAAAGCGUUAUCUGGAUUUACUGGGUGUAAAGGGCGUGGAGGCGGGGGCGCAAGUCAGAUGUGAAAACCACGGGCGCAACCUGUGGACUGCAUUUGAAACUGUGUUUAUUGAGUACUGGAGAGGCAGGCGGAAUUCCUAGUGUAGCAGUGAAAUGCGUAGAUAUUAGGAAGAACACCAGUGGCGAAGGCAGUCUGCUGGGAAGCAACUGACGCUGAGGCGCGAAAGCGUGGGGAGCAAACAGGAUUAGAUACCCCAGUAGUC
rnacentral:rRNA from 1 species